AUUGAACGCUAGCGGGAUGCCUUACACAUGCAAGUCGAACGGAGUGGCGAACGGGUGAGUAAUGUAUCGGAACGUGCCCAGUAGCGGGGGAUAACUACGCGAAAGCGUAGCUAAUACCGCAUACUCUUUGAUCGGCCGAUAUCGGGUUAGCUAGUUGGUGGGGUAACGGCUCACCAAGGAGACGAUCCGUCGCUGGUUUGAGCGGACGACCCGCCACACUGGGAAUGAGAAACGGCCCAGACACCUACGGGAGGCAGCAGUGGGGAAUUUUGGACAAUGGGGGAAACCCUGAUCCAGCCAGCCCGCGUGUGCGAUGAAGGCCUUCGGGUUGUAAAGCACUUUUGGCAGGAAAGCGGUACCUGCAGAAUAAGCACCGGCUAACUACGUGCCAGCAGCCGCAGUAAUUC
rnacentral:rRNA from 1 species